GAUGAAGAACGCAGCGAAAUGCGAUAAGUAAUGUGAAUUGCAGAAUUCAGUGAAUCAUCGAAUCUUUGAACGCACCUUGCACCCUUUGGCAUUCCGAAGGGUAUGCUCGUUUGAGUGUCAUUGUACUCUCACACUUCUGAUCCUUUGGAUUGGGAGCGGUGGACUUGGGUGUUGCUGCUUUACUGUGGCUCACCUCAAAUGCAUUCGUGCAACUCUUGGUUGGACAUAGUACGGCGUGAUAAGUAUCUUCGCCGGCACCUCGCAAGAGGGUGGCUGAUCAGGAGCUCUGCGCUUUCCAACUGUCUUCAGACAACAACUGACAACUUGACCUCAAAUCGAGUAGGACCACCCGCUGAACUUAAGCAUAUCAAUAAGCGGAGGA
rnacentral:misc_RNA from 1 species